rnacentral:rRNA from 1 species
UACGGGGGGGGCAAGCGUUGUUCGGAAUUACUGGGCGUAAAGGGCUGGUAGGCGGCCAACUAAGUCCGACGUGAAAUCCCAAGGCUUAACCUUGGAACUGCGUCGGAUACUGGAUGGCUUGAAUUCGGGAGAGGGAUGCGGAAUUCCAGGUGUAGCGGUGAAAUGCGUAGAUAUCUGGAGGAACACCGGUGGCGAAGGCGGGUCUCUGGACAGUUCCUGACGCUGAGGCACGAAGGCCAGGGGAGCAAACGGG